rnacentral:tRNA from 1 species
GUUGUAGCUCAGCGGUAGAGUGCUCGCCUAGCACUGCAAGGCCCUGGGUUCGAUCCUCAGCACAAUA